CUUUUUGGCCCCUCUUGAACGCUAUUUCCACUUCCUUGACGUCUGGCUUCACCAGUCUAUCCAUGAUGAUUGACUCUGUUUUCCCCCUUUCUCAUGAAAAUUGAAAGUGGGGUUUGCAGACUGAGGAGGGAAAGAGAGCAGAUGAAGGUGGUGGGUGGGGGCUGAAUGCUCCUUUUUGCUUUUAGAUUUGAUGUAAUUUUAGUCUUAAUUAUUGUCAAUUGAUUGAUUGAUUAAUGGAUUAAUUUAUUGUUUGCUUGUUGGUUUAGGUGGACAAUGACAAUGAAAGGAUGCAGUCUUUAUUGGGUUUGCUUGAAUAAGCAAUAGGACUUGUCUAGAGACGAGGACAACGGAGGAAGAUGAAGACCUGCCACUUGCAAUUCUCAAUUUCAUAGUUUCAUAUUGGUCUGGUGGGGACAGUUUCAUGAAAUUUCCAGGUGAGAUCAUUUUGAUUGAGCAUAUUCUUUGGUUCGACCAUUAGGUAAUAUAAUUAUAUUUAAAUGGGUCGCUUAAACGUAGUUGUUUUUUAAACUGAAUAAAUUUCAUUUUAGUGAAAUUUGACUACAAACCCCAAAUAACCCAGACAAUAUUAUAAGCAAACCCAACUUAAGUCCCUUUAAACCGUGUCCUAGGAGAAAACGGGUGGACUCCUUCUCAUUAGGAAGAACUUCACUGCUGAUACCAAUGGAGAAUGCAAAGAAAGCAAUGCAAUGGAGAGUCUCAAAACUUCCCUGCCCAACUCCAUCAACACUAAGGAAAAGGGAAAAUUGGAGCAAGUCACCAAGAAGAGCAGAGGACCGGACCAAUGCUGGAUCAAUAGGGAAAUCAGGCAUAGGUCUCAAAUGAGUAAUAGAAUUGCAUCAAAUUUUUGGAGCUUUGUUGUGGAAGGAUGGCUGGUAGUGAAGUGUAUUUAGGCAUUGGAUAGUUAAUCGAUUUAACUUAUAUGUUUCAUUAAAAAAAAAUUCGUUCCUAAAAAAAUUAAUUGAAUUUUUACAUAAUUAUGCAUGGUUUUUAUGUUCUUUGAAUAAUUUUUUUAAUUAAAAAGAGUUGAAAAAAGAAAUCAAUUAAAUUAAGUUUUGGAAAAUUUAUAAAUUAUAAACAAGAAAUACAAAUGCAACAUUUGAAUUUUCUUCAUAUAACAGUUAAAAAAAACCACAUAUGCAAAACAUGCCUAGGCUCUGCAAAUGAUUGAGAGUGAUGACCGAUAAGUAAAGACCACCUAGAGCAGAAUGAUAUGUGAUGCAGAGUGAGAAUUUCAUAGCCCAAGCAAAUUCUGAUAAGUUGAACUUUAAUUAAUAAAAUGGAAAAUCAUAUUUGGUUAAGAAAACUCUAACUAAAUCCAACUAACUCAAAAGACUUACUAGCUUAUCUUAAUUGUAGGAUUUGUUCCACUUGAAAAUUAGAUUGCUGACUCAUAAAUAUUGCAAAUUCAUAUUGGUAGGUUGUGAAUUUCAUGUUGUUUCCAUGGAACAUAUUAUGCAAAAAAUAUGACCUGCAAUUAUAGUAUCAAGUACAAAACAUUAGCUUGCCAAAUUGAUUGAUAAUAAUGUGAGUGGUUGACCGGCUGUAACCACAAAUCCUCACAGUAAGUCCAUUGAACUAAUCCUAAUAGUAGUAUCGUUUUCUGCUGGAUGGUUGUGGCCAUAGAAGACAAUACCCUUUGCAUAUUUAUUGACCACUCUGCCACAAGAAAACAGAGCAAGUAUUAUAAUAUGCUUUUGCGUUAGAUUGUUUAAUCCUGUUAACAUCUUUACAUGUCCCCAGUGUUGUUCUUUUUCUAAUAUAUAGAUGCGAACCCUGAAUCACAUGUUUGGAUGUUAGUUUGCUAAUGGAGAACCCACUUAUGCUUGUUUACAUUUCUUAAUAGAUGGAGACUUUUCAAUUUUAAACUUAAUUAGCAAUCAGGAGAGUGAGGGUCCUUCCUCUCUGCUCACAGAUUUUCUUUUUUGUGUGUGCAUUCUAAACUAAAAAUUGCACGUCAAGUGGCAUUUCCAAGCAUGCAAGCUGAAAUGUUCCGACACUUGCAUUCAUUAGGCAAGCACACAGACACCAUUUUCUUUCUCUCACAUUUAAAUAGGUAUUUGCAUUGGCAUAACUGGCAUCAUUGGAGAUGAUGGACAGAUUUUAGAAAUAGUUUAUGCAAGGAAAACUGGAAGAAAAUAUUAAUCAAAUAAUCAUUUCGUAUUUCAAAAUUGCUGAACAUAUCCUGAGACCAUGUAGGUUUUGUGACCACAUUAAAGCAUAUAUAAUUUGGAUGUUUUAAAUUAAAAGAUUAAUCUUUUACAUUUUGUGGCAACGAAUGCUUUAAAAAUGAUAUCUGGCUAAUAUAAUAUAAGUUACUAGAAGGUAUCUGAUUGAUGCCAUUAAACCUCUGCAUAAAUAUAUAUUUUGUGAUUAUGUCAGCUUCCAAUUUUAAGGUCAAAACUCAAAAGUGUUUGCUUGUCUUUUGCACCCAAUUUGAAAUUUGAUUUAAAUAAUUUCUUAAUAUAAUUUAUAUGUUUGGGGGAUGCAUCUUAAAAUAAUAAUGUUCAUUUAAAUUUCAUUGUUUGACAUAAUUGAAAGAACAAUUGAUAAAAUUUUAUUUCUUAUUUUAUUAUUAUUUUCAAAGAGACCAACGUAAUUCAAAUAGGGUAUCUUGAGUUCUUAGUAAUAUAUUUCAUUAUGCCACUUCUAAAUUGAUUUCUUGUAAAAUUAUGCCUACUUGAUUUCAUUUCUUUCAAAAUGUUUACUUUUAAAGUUGAAAUAAUUGAAUUAUCAGAAUCAUAGACUUUCUAAACAUGAGACUUUAGUAAAUAGAAUUCAAUUCAUUUUUUUAGUGUUUCCUGUUUAGAUUAUUCAUGCACAAUAAGUAUUAGAUAUAAAUUCUGAAGAGCAUGGAUUGUAAUCUUAAUUAACAAAUAUUUGCUAAUUGGAAACAACUUCUAACAGGAACUAUGGUUUCCUUAACCCUGUUUAGAGGAUUAAAAUAAGUGGGAUGCUAAUUGACCUUUAUUCUUUAUCAUUUUUGGAGUUAGUUAACGGGUCAGUGUUAUAAGAUUGAUCAUAGGCCUCUGAUAAUGCAAAAAAUACCUCAUCAGCCUUCUCAAAAAGAAAUAUAAGCUGACCAGUUGAGAAGUGGCAUCUGGAUAGAAGUAAAUAUUUUCUGAUAACAUGCGCUUGAUUCUGUGCAGGAUAAAAAGGUGCUUAUUUUUCUUUCUCUUAGCUUUUCCUAAUUACAUAUUUUAUUCAUAACCAGGAAGCAAGGAUAGGAUGAUAACAAUGACUGGCCUCACAAUUGACCCUUUGCUCUAUUUUUAAUUUAGGUGUUAGUUGAAGGGUCAGAUUUAUUUAGUUGGAUUAAGGCCUGCGGUAUUGCAUGGGAGACUCCACCAUGUUUCGUACAAGAAAUUUAAUCUGACUGACUAUCUAAGCAAUGGAAUCUGCAUAUAACAAUUAUUUUCUGAUCCAUUCUGGGUUGAGGUUGCAACAGGCAAAAGUGCUCAUUUGUCUGUUGGUGCUAGCUUCUUAUUUUUAAUAUUCUGUAUUAUAAUCAUGAAAUGGUUUUUGCUGAUUCAAUAUCAGGCUGCUAAUUGACCAGAUAGGAUUUAGGAUUUGAGUUAAAUUAAUAGAAGGGUUAAGGCUUAGUUGUUCUUAGAAAUGAUAUAAGCUGAUAGAUACUGGAAUGACAUCUGCACAAAGUGCUCGUUUGUCUGUUAAUGGCUGCUUCUUAUAUUUAAUAUGCUGUAUCAUAAUCAUGAAAUAGUUUGCCGAUCCUAUGUCAGGCUGCUAAUUGACCAAAUCGUAUUUAGGAUUAGAGUUGUUAAUUAGUUGAAGCGUUUAGUUGAUCUUAUAUACAUAUGUAUAUAUAUAUUUGUGAUUG
rnacentral:lncRNA from 1 species